CCUACGGGCGGCAGCAGUGAGGAAUAUUGGUCAAUGGGCGCGAGCCUGAACCAGCCAAGCCGCGUGAGGGAAGACGGUCCUACGGAUCGUAAACCUCUUUUGUCGGGGAGCAAAACCCGGCACGCGUCCCCUUCCGAGAGUACCCGAAGAAAAAGCAUCGGCUAACUCCGUGCCAGCAGCCGCGGUAAUACGGAGGAUGCGAGCGUUAUCCGGAUUUAUUGGGUUUAAAGGGUGCGCAGGCGGCAGAUUAAGUCAGCGGUAAAAGUGCGGGGCUCAACCCCUUCGAGCCGUUGAAACUGGUAGUCUUGAGUGAGAGAGAAGUAUGCGGAAUGCGUGGUGUAGCGGUGAAAUGCAUAGAUAUCGCGCAGAACUCCGAUUGCGAAGGCAGCAUGCCGGCGCUAAACUGACGCUCAGGCACGAAAGUGUGGGUAUCGAACAGGAUUAGAUACCCCGGUAGUC
rnacentral:rRNA from 1 species